rnacentral:lncRNA from 1 species
AGGAGGACAGGAGGGGUGGGAAGAGGAGAGAUGAGUGGGAAACUACCUUAGAGAAAAGGAAACCACCCUGGAGAGCCUUUGUACGGGACCUGGCGUUUCACUGGUGCUUAGUAUGUGCCAGUGUGAAAACCAGCAGCAGCCAGCCCAGCUUGGAGAGUCCAAAGGACUUCUGACAUUGUCCCAUGUGAUCUCCCAUUGGAAAGCAGAAUUCCACCCCAAGCCCUGCAGUCACAGCCUGAAUGUGUCCAGGAUUGUGGCCAGAGGGGUCUCAUCUGCAGGAAUGGAGACCCAGUGUCCUAAAAUGGCGAGAGUUGUGACUCCUACAGAGAGAAAAUGUCAACAGAAGGCAGCAUAGGCGCCAGUCCCCAUAAAUUCGUUUUGGGGGGGAGGGGAUGAAGAAAAAAUAUAUAUAUAUAUUCAUUCAUUAGGGAACAGAAAUCCUUUCUCGGAUGGGAUGUGAGAAGCCAGUCCUUCUAGUUUGUGUUUAUCUCCCCCUCCCACUUCUCCCCAACAGGUAACAGAGAAUGACUUUGAACUUCUGACCUUCUGGCUUCCACCUCCUGAACACUAGAGUUGCAGGCAUGCGCCACCAAACUUGGUGUAAACAAUGCUGAGGACUGAACCUAAGGCUUUGUGUGUGCUAGGCUAGCACUCUGCCCUACUACAUCCCCAGCAAUCUCCAGCAAUCCCCCGUGAAUUCAACCAUACACAAACAGCCCUCCUGGCUUGGCAAAACACAAGCGAGGCCUAGCAGCGAAAAUAUGUCUGAAGAACUUGCUAGAAAUGUAGAUGCUAAGUCUUGCUGGGAGAGAAACAAGAUGAGACUCAGUGGCAGUGUCUAAGCAGCCUUCAGAGGCUUGGGGGGUGGCUGGGGUUUAUAGUCAGUGGUUUGCAGCUAUGAGGAGGAAGUUUGCCUCCCAUAGACUUCUCAACAGUACCCAUUGCUCUUUGAAAACACCAGAGAUUCUGAUUCUCAGGCAGCUCUCACACCCUGCAGCCGUUCAUUUACCGUAGAGUCCUGUAUCACCUAACCUCUGAGGGGUGCUCUGAUGGCCAGUGACUUCUAAAAUGAUGCUCUCAGGGCUCCUAACAAUGGUCUCUUUUAUUCUGGAAAGUCUAGUGUGUAGGUGGUUUUGUCAUGGUUAUUUUGUUUGGCUUGUUUGUUUGAGCAAGAGGCCUGGAUCCCAGUUUUGGGGUUAUAGGUGUGUGGGGUUAUAAGGUGCUGGGAAUGGAAUUCAGGGUUUCAUGCAUACUAGGCCAGUACUGACCAACUGAGCGACAUCUCCACCCCUGGGCUUUGGUUUUGUUCAUUUGUUUUUGAGAUGAGAUUUUGUAGUGUAGCCCAGAACUGCCUCAAACUCAAGAUCCUCCUGCUUCAGCCUCCAGAGUCGUGGGAUUAUAGGCAUAUAUCACCAUUCCUACCUUUAUUCUGGAAAUUCUGAUGUGGUGAUUUGAAGAUGCUUGGCCCAGGGAGUGGCACUAUUAGGAGGUGCAGCCUUGUUAGAGGGGAUGGGCUUUGAGAGACCCUCCUCCUCGCUGCCUGGAAAUCAGUCUUCUCCUUGCUGCCUUCUGAACAAGAUGUAGAACUCUCAGCUCCUCCUGCUCCAUGCCUGCCUGGAUGCUGCUGUGCUCCCACCUUGAUGAUAAUGGACUGAACCUCUGAAACUGUAAGCCAGCCACAAUUAAAUGUUGUCCUUUAUAAGAGUUGUCUUGGUGUCUGUUCACAGCAGUAAAACCCUAACUAAGACACCUGACAAGCAAGCUUAUUCUGUUCUAAAAACUUGUUCUUGUUUUUUGUUUUGUUUUUCAAGAUAGGAUUUCUCUGUGUAGCCCUGGAUGUCCUGGAAAUCAUUCUGUAUACUAGGCUGGCCCUGAACUUACAGAGAUCCACCUGCCUCUGACUCCUACGUGCUGAGAUUAAAGGUGUGUGCGACCAUCACCCAGUGAUCCCAGGGUCUUGUAUGUACUUGGCAAGCUCUCUUCCACAGAGUUACACACUUAAGCUUAUUUACUUUUUAAAGGAAGUUAAACUUGCAUACA